rnacentral:ncRNA from 2 species
GUUGGGGUAGGAACUCCCGAGUCAUUGUUCGACGGAACGGAAUGUGAACGUCGAAAGGAGGCCGUACUGGCCGCUUGGGUUUUCCGCAUUCACCACA